CAGAUGGCUCCGAAGUUUGCAUCCCAUUAGGCUGGUGCAAAAGUAAUGGCGGAUUUUGCCAUUAAAAGUAAUGGCAAAAAUAGCAAUUAUCUUUGUAACAUCCUAGUAUCUUUUCUCUUUCUACCAAACUUUGUCCCUGAACCAUCUCA
ensembl:miRNA